AGGGAAUAUGGGUCAAUGGGCGCGAGCCUGAACCAGCCAAGUAGCGUGAAGGAUGAAGGCUCUAUGGGUCGUAAACUUCUUUUAUAUGGGAAUAAAGUUUUCCACGUGUGGAAUUUUGUAUGUACCAUAUGAAUAAGGAUCGGCUAACUCCGUGCCAGCAGCCGCGGUAAUACGGAGGAUCCGAGCGUUAUCCGGAUUUAUUGGGUUUAAAGGGAGCGUAGGUGGAUUGUUAAGUCAGUUGUGAAAGUUUGCGGCUCAACCGUAAAAUUGCAGUUGAAAUUGGCAGUCUUGAGUACAGUAGAGGUGGGCGGAAUUCGUGGUGUAGCGGUGAAAUGCUUAGAUAUCACGAAGAACUCCGAUUGCGAAGGCAGCUCACUAGACUGUCACUGACACUGAUGCUCGAAAGUGUGGGUAUCAAACAGGAUUAGAUACCCUGGUAGUCCACACAGUAAACGAUGAAUACUCGCUGUUUGCGCAU
rnacentral:rRNA from 1 species